rnacentral:rRNA from 1 species
CCUACGGGGGGCUGCAGUGGGGAAUAUUGGACAAUGGGCGAAAGCCUGAUCCAGCCAUGCCGCGUGUGUGAAGAAGGCCUUCGGGUUGUAAAGCACUUUCAGUGGGGAAGAAAGCCUUGGGGCUAAUACCCUCGAGGAAGGACAUCACCCACAGAAGAAGCACCGGCUAACUCCGUGCCAGCAGCCGCGGUAAUACGGAGGGUGCGAGCGUUAAUCGGAAUUACUGGGCGUAAAGCGCGCGUAGGCGGUCUGAUAAGCCGGUUGUGAAAGCCCCGGGCUCAACCUGGGAACGGCAUCCGGGACUGUCAGGCUAGAGUGCAGGAGAGGAAGGUAGAAUUCCCGGUGUAGCGGUGAAAUGCGUAGAGAUCGGGAGGAAUACCAGUGGCGAAGGCGGCCUUCUGGACUGACACUGACGCUGAGGUGCGAAAGCGUGGGUAGCAAACAGGAUUAGAUACCCUUGUAGUC